rnacentral:rRNA from 1 species
CCUACGGGCGGCAGCAGUGAGGAAUAUUGGUCAAUGGCCGAGAGUCUGAACCAGCCAAGCCGCGUGAGGGAAGACGGCCCUACGGGUUGUAAACCUCUUUUGUCCGGGGGCAAAGAGAGUUACGCGUGACUCACUGAGAGUACCCGAAGAAAAAGCAUCGGCUAACUCCGUGCCAGCAGCCGCGGUAAUACGGAGGAUGCGAGCGUUAUCCGGAUUUAUUGGGUUUAAAGGGUGCGCAGGCGGCGGUGCAAGUCAGCGGUCAAAUUGCGGGGCUCAACCCCGUACUGCCGUUGAAACUGCAUCCCUUGAGUGCGCGAGAAGUAUGCGGAAUGCGUGGUGUAGCGGUGAAAUGCAUAGAUAUCACGCAGAACUCCGAUUGCGAAGGCAGCAUACCGGCGCGCAACUGACGCUCAUGCACGAAAGCGUGGGUAUCGAACAGGAUUAGAUACCCUAGUAGUC